rnacentral:lncRNA from 10 species
AGCUUAAUUUUAAAUACAUUUAUCUCUUCCUCCAUUUACAGAAAUCUGUAAUGUGGCUUUGAUUCACUGAAAUGCAAAGAACAGUAGUAUGACUUUGGUAAACAGGAUGUGACUGUUAAGCCUUUGCAUCAGUCUUCAAAUAUGAACUUCUGGAAAAUGGAAAUGGGAGUAUUAGUUCAUUGAGCAACUCACUUCCUUUAAUUUAAUUUUUUUUCCUUGGGGUCUGUCAAAGGUAUGUCUCAGGGGCCCUCACAAGCUUCUCUACAGAGGAGGUUCCUAAUAUCUUGCAAGGCAAUUGAAACCUCCCAGGUACCCUUUAAGCCAUUUUCUCAAUCAGCAAUUCCAACUUGGUUGUAUUCAAGACCUCAGUAAGUGUUGACAUAGAAGCAGGUGCAUGUGUGUGAUGGGGAUGAAGGAUCUAGGAAGAAAGGGAAGAUGGGAAAAGGGAAGAGGUGACAGAAUUCAACCUCUGUCACAUUCAGUUCUAUUCCACUCAUUUGUGGAUUUUUCAACUACAGGUUAAUGCCAAGGCCCCCCAGUAACAAUAUUUUUGGUCCUAGAAUGGCUGCAUUUUCACUGCCUUUCAGGGUUUUUAGAACUAGAGUAGUUUCUUUCCUUUCCAUAUUCUUCCUUCUUGCCUCUAUCUUUAGUGGUUUUGUGACCUUGGGGAAAUUACUUUACGUGUCUGAACUCCAUAUUCCUCAACCCCAAAGUGGGUACUUGUUUUUAAAAAAAUUAUUUGUUGUUGAGUACUUUACAGGUACUUAUAGGAUUUACUCUUUUGCUGGAAAUAAUGUGUUUAAAUAUUUAAUUAUAAUAAAGUGUGAUGCAUACUUUGCAGUUACAGUUAACCAUAAUUCAAGGCAAACCAUACAGAGGAGGAUGAUUCAUUGUUGGGAAUGAUCAGGGAAGAUUUCAACAGCAGUGAAAUAAAAGUGGGCUGUGAAAGGUGAGCUGGAUGUGUCAGGCAGAGAACCUAGUGCUUCUCAAUGCGUAGGCCUUAGACAAUCAUUAUCAGACUCACCUGUGAGCUUUUUGAACCACAAAUUUACUAACUCCAUCAGAUGGACUCAAUCAGAGUCUGGAAAUGGAGCUCAGGGAACACGCCUAACAAAGCCUCCAGGUGAUUAAAGUUUGAGAAACAAUGCAUUAGGUGGCCCUAAUCUAGGCCAAUGAGUCAGAGGCCGCUGAAGGAGGUGGUAUUUAAUCUGAGGAGUGAGGG